AUUGAACGCUGGCGGCAUGCUUUACACAUGCAAGUCGAACGGCAGCGGGGAGGAGCUUGCUUCUCUGCCGGCGAGUGGCGAACGGGUGAGUAAUACAUCGGAACGUGUCGAGAAGAGGGGGAUAACCACCCGAAAGGGUGGCUAAUACCGCAUAAAUUCUGAGGAAGAAAGCUGGGGACCUAGGAAUAGGCCUAGCGCUUUUUGAGCGGCCGAUGUCGGAUUAGCUAGUUGGUGAGGUAAAGGCUCACCAAGGCGAAGAUCUGUAGCGGGUCUGAGAGGAUGAUCCGCCACACUGGGACUGAGACACGGCCCAGACUCCUACGGGAGGCAGCAGUGGGGAAUUUUGGACAAUGGGGGCAACCCUGAUCCAGCCAUGCCGCGUGUAUGAAGAAGGCCUUAGGGUUGCAAAGUACUUUUGUUAGGGAAGAAAAGUCAGCUGUGAAUAAUGGCUGAUACUGACGGUACCUAAAGAAUAAGCACCGGCUAACUACGUG
rnacentral:rRNA from 1 species